UCAAAAACACGAGUACCAUUUUUUUCAGAAUAUAAGUCGCUCCAGAGUAUAAGUCGCACCAGCCAAAAAAUGCAUAAUGAAGAAAAAAACAUAUAUAAGUCGCACUGGACUAUAAGUCACAUUUUUUGAGGAAAUUUAUUUGAUAAAAUCCGAGACCAAGAAUAGACAUUUCAUCUUGAAAGGUAAUU